CUGCCCACAAUUAGCCUGAUCUCCAGAGGAAAGAACAACUGCACGCACGAUCAGAGGAGAUUGAAGACGACGUGGGAGAAUUCCAGAUUAUUGUUGUCCUAGAUUAUUGCGAUUGCAGUGGUCUUUUGGCUUGAGAUAUUUGUACACCCAAUUGAAAGAUUUCACAAUUGGAUACUUGAAUUCAUUGGACAGUACUAAAAAAUUGUCCGAGUUGGAUCAACAAAAUAAAGAUCAAGAAGACAAGUUUCUCAACUAUAUCCAAGAUAUGUGGGAAGGAAUUAUGGAGACCACAUACCUUCAAGAAGAAAUCGAUGAAGUCCGUGAUGAGUGGGCAGAAUUCGUUAGUGAUAAGUAACUUUAGACUUGAGACUUUUGCAAUGUGGAAUUGUGGAUCUUUAGUUCUAUGCUUUAACUAUGUACCUAUAGUGAAGCUUCUUUAAUUUGUAGCAAAACUACCUUUUCCAUUAUAUGACAGCUAGUAUAUAUUAGUUUCUUUUACUUUUGCAAAGUUCACUCAAGAAAUUUCAAUUGCGAAAGCAUUGUAAAUGUGAUUAUUUGAAGUAAUUCUCUAU
rnacentral:lncRNA from 1 species